AAUCAACGCUGGCGGCGUGCCUCAGACAUGCAAGUCGAACGAUUAAACUUUCCUUCGGGGAAGAUAUAGAGUGGCGCACGGGUGAGUAACACGUAAGUAAUCUACCCUUGGGUGGGGAAUAACAUCGGGAAACCGAUGCUAAUACCGCAUAAUGCAGCGGCUUCUUAUGAAGACAGUUGUUAAAGCAUUUUAUGUGCCUGAGGAGGAGCUUGCGGCAGAUUAGCUAGUUGGUAAGUAAUGGCUUACCAAGGCGACGAUCUGUAGCCGACCUGA
rnacentral:rRNA from 1 species